AAAAUCCACAGAAACGUUUACCUUUUCUUGCCAAAAUCUACAGUUUGACGAUGAGCUUAUUCCAGUAAACCAAAAUACAGAUCAAGUUUACACGUUGAUCCCUCUAUAAUGGUGUUCUUCUUCCUCUCCAAGCAAAACUCCGUAUAGAAUCUCCUAAUUGUUCCGGAGCUACUCUGGAAAGGGACUUUUAACAAUAACAUAGCUUCAACGUUUAAAAGAAUCACCAAUUACGCGAUCUAAUGUGGAAAUAUAUAGAUUUGGUGCCUUGGAACUGGAAAAUUUCAAAGGGUCCUAAAUACAUGCUUCUUAUGAUGUGAAUAUGGAGAAAGAAAAAAGCUCCUCGGAGCCAUGGAAGAACGAAUCUAGGUCAUUUCUUAUCCACAUUACCCGAUGAUUCCUGAGGUAUGCAAUCCGUGCAUGCAUUACUAGCUGGUGGAGGUAGGUAAUCUGAAACUUUAAUCCGAAAAGUUUGCUGCUUCUCUUCAUUCCCCGGGACAUGGACGAGAGCUUCCAUAAUGAGUAUCUCCC
rnacentral:misc_RNA from 1 species